GCAGGUAUAGCUUAGUUGGGAGAGCGUCAGACUGAAGAUCUGAAGGUCGCGGGUUCGGUCCACGCUCACCGCA